rnacentral:rRNA from 1 species
UACGGGGGGGGCAAGCGUUGUUCGGAAUUACUGGGCGUAAAGGGCGUGUAGGCGGCCUUGUAAGUCGGGGGUGAAAUCCACUGGCUCAACCAGUGACGUGCCUUCGAAACUGCUUGGCUUGAGUAUGGCAGAGGAGAGCGGAAUUCCAGGUGUAGCGGUGAAAUGCGUAGAUAUCGGGAGGAACACCAAUGGCGAAGGCAGCUCGCUGGGACGUUACUGACGCUGAGACGCGAAAGCGUGGGGAGCAAACAGG